rnacentral:rRNA from 1 species
CCAAUAGCGUAUAUUAAAGUUGUUGCAGUUAAAAAGCUCGUAGUUGAAUUUCGGGGUCAGCAAGUUGGUCGUGCCACUGGUAUGCACUGGCUUUGCUGAUUCCUCCUUCUUGUAGAACCGUAAUGCCAUUAAGUUGGUGUUGCGGGGAAACAGGACUGUUACUUUGAAAAAUUUAGAGUGUUUAAUGCAGGCUAAAGCUUGAAUACAUUAGCAUGGAAUAAUGAAAUAGGACGACGACCCUAUUUUGUUGGUUUCUAGGAUUGACGUAAUGAUUAAUAGGGAUAGUUGGGGGCAUUAGUAUUCAAUUGUCAGAGGUGAAAUUCUUGGAUUUAUUGAAGACUAACUACUGCGAAAGCAUUUGCCAAGGAUGUUUUCAUUAAUCAAGAACGAAAGUUAGGGGAUCGAAGACGAUCAGAUACCGUCGUAGUCUUAACCAUAAACUAUGCCGACUAGGGAUCGGAUGAUGUUAAUUCUAUAAUGACUCAUUCGGCGCCUUACG